AUGAACGCUGGCGGCGUGCCUAACACAUGCAAGUCGAACGAAGCACUUCGAUUUCCUCGGAAUGAAAAAGUGACUGAGUGGCGGACGGGUGAGUAACGCAUGGGUAACCUGCCUCAUACAGGGGGAUAACAGUUAGAAAUGACUGCUAAUACCGCAUAAGCGCACAGUAUCGCAUGAUACAGUGUGAAAAACUCCGGUGGUAUGAGAUGGACCCGCGUCUGAUUAGCUAGUUGGUGAGGUAAUGGCUCACCAAGGCGACGAUCAGUAGCCGGCCUGAGAGGGUGAUCGGCCACAUUGGGACUGAGACACGGCCCAAACUCCUACGGGAGGCAGCAGUGGGGAAUAUUGCACAAUGGGGGAAACCCUGAUGCAGCAACGCCGCGUGAAGGAUGACGUAUUUCGGUAUGUAAACUUCUAUCAGCAAGGAAGAUGAUGACGGUACUUGACUAAGAAGCCCCGGCUAACUACGUG
rnacentral:rRNA from 1 species